UAUCCAUGGAUUGGGGAAUUCAGAGCCUCAUAAGUGGUGGAGCACUCUGCCCCAGGGAUUCAGAGCAAGAAAUAGUUUUGUAGAGCCUUAGAAGCAGCCCAGGAUGAGCUGGGAAGUCAGGGAUUUCUUCACAAGGCUGGCAGAGUUCUCAGACAAGUGAAUUUCAAGGAAAAUAGUAUCAAAAUGGUUAUACAUAUGCUAUCAUUGCUGAUAUCAUGUGGAAUUCACUGAGCAGAACCAAUGAUGUCUUCCUGCAAAGCUCAGGAAAUACUGCCAAGGGACAGAGGCUCAGAGUGGUCACCCAGCUGUGCAGCUUCUGUGGUUGCUCAUAUUGAGAAGAAUGUGGGUGGGUCAGACCUGAAGAUGAUUCUUGUGCAGCUUCUUUUGGCAACUCUGAUGCUGUGGAUCCUUUCCAGCAGGCACAGUAGUACAUGGCUUCGUCUUCUUCUUGUAAGAAAUUUAUACUCAAAGUUGAUGUGGAAGUAACGGCAUUUUUACUUGCCUCAAGUUUGUUUUUCCUCCCAUCUAAAGAAGCUUGAGUAGAGCUUGUUUGGACCAUUAUUAGAUGUUCUAUCUCCUGAUCUGGUUUGUGUCGGUACCAGUGUAUAACUUCACUGUUAAAAUCCUCAGUGAUCACCUUGCAUGAUAUGCGAGCAGUCUUAUCUCUUGCUCUGGAAACUGAUAUUUCAUGUUGUUCUAACUUCACCUGCCCAAGGCCAACUGCAAGCAAAGAAGAGAAACUCCAGUGAACAAAUGAUAUGGGAAAAGGCAACAAUAAAUAAUUUCUCAAGUCUCUCCUGUAGACUCAUAUGACUUGGGGACAACUUACAAGUCCAGAGGGAUGAGAUGAUGAUCACUUCCAGCAGUAGCAUCCUGUUGACCUGGCUAGCUCCCCAGGGUACAAGAACCCUGGAAAACAAAGUCUUAGAGGCAUAUCUAUCAUGCUGGAGGCACUUGAUUUGCUCAGGGGCAAGUUCCAAUGGCUCAAUCCUGGUUUUGUCCCAGUAUGGAUCUUGAAUGUGGAGUAAGGUUGUUCCAAUUUCACCUGCCCAAGGCCAACUGCAAGCAAAGAAGAGAAAUUUCCAUGAACAAAUAUUAUAGGAAAGGCAACAAUAAAGAGUUUCUUGAAUCUCUUCUGUGACUGACAUGACUUGGGGACAACUCACAAGCCCAGAGGGGUAAGAUGAUGACCGCUUCCAGCAGUAGUAUCCUGUUGGCCUGGCUGGAUCCCCAGCAAAAAGAGCAGAGAUCUAUAAGGGCAUAAUUAUUAUUCAAGAGGAAAUUUUAAAACACCUGAAUCAGAUCAAGAUAAUUCUGUGCUGUGCCCUCUGUCCUUCUAUGAAACCUUUCCUGGAGCAGGGGCAGGGAGAGCUCAUGGAAGUUGCUUCUGUAAUUGUGUGUCAACAUCAAAUUGACUUGAUUGAAAGCACGUCAACUAUUAACGUGACUGAGGCUUGAGGCUUGAAAGUUUAUGUGAUUUAACCAAGUUCAGAAGAAAUAAUACAGCAGAACACGGGAUGAAUGAAACAGUUUACAACAGCCUGUAUUUUCAUGGUCUAC